UCCUACGGGAGGCAGCAGUUAGGAAUCUUCCGCAAUGGACGGAAGUCUGACGGAGCGACGCCGCUUGGAGGAGGAAGCCCUUCGGGGUGUAAACUCCUGAACUGGGGGCGAAAGCCCUGUGUAGGGGGAUGACGGCACCCAGGUAAUAGCGCCGGCCAACUCCGUGCCAGCAGCCGCGGUAAUACGGAGGGCGCGAGCGUUACCCGGAUUUACUGGGCGUAAAGGGCGUGUAGGCGGCCUGGGGCGUCCCAUGUGAAAGGCCACGGCUCAACCGUGGAGGAGCGUGGGAUACGCUCAGGCUAGAGGGUGGGAGAGGGUGGUGGAAUUCCCGGAGUAGCGGUGAAAUGCGCAGAUACCGGGAGGAACGCCGAUGGCGAAGGCAGCCACCUGGUCCACUUCUGACGCUGAGGCGCGAAAGCGUGGGGAGCAAACCGGAUUAGAUACCCGGGUAGUCCACGCCCUAAACGAUGCGCGCUAGGCCUCUGGGUUUAUCUGAGGGCCGAAGCCAACGCGUUAAGCGCGCCGUCUGGGGAGUACGGCCGCAAGGCUGAAACUCAAAUGAAUUGACGGA
rnacentral:rRNA from 1 species